CAACUUUCAACAACGGAUCUCUUGGCUCUCGCAUCGAUGAACAACGCAGCGAAAUGCGAUACGUAAUGUGAAUUGCAGAAUUCAGUGAAUCAUCGAAUCUUUGAACGCACCUUGCGCCCCUUGGUAUUCCGAGGGGCACACCCGUUUGAGUGUCGUGA
rnacentral:rRNA from 1 species